rnacentral:rRNA from 1 species
AGAGUUUGAUCCUGGCUCAGGAUGAACGCUAGCGGCAGGCUUAACACAUGCAAGUCGAGGGGCAGCAUAAUGGAUAGCAAUAUCUAUGGUGGCGACCGGCGCACGGGUGCGUAACGCGUAUGCAACCUACCUUUAACAGGGGGAUAACACUGAGAAAUUGGUACUAAUACCCCAUAAUAUCAUAGAAGGCAUCUUUUAUGGUUGAAAAUUCCGAUGGUUAGAGAUGGGCAUGCGUUGUAUUAGCUAGUUGGUGGGGUAACGGCUCACCAAGGCGACGAUACAUAGGGGGACUGAGAGGUUAACCCCCCACACUGGUACUGAGACACGGACCAGACUCCUACGGGAGGCAGCAGUGAGGAAUAUUGGUCAAUGGACGCAAGUCUGAACCAGCCAUGCCGCGUGCAGGAUGACGGCUCUAUGAGUUGUAAACUGCUUUUGUACGAGGGUAAACGCAGAUACGUGUAUCUGUCUGAAAGUAUCGUACGAAUAAGGAUCGGCUAACUCCGUGCCAGCAGCCGCGGUAAUACGGAGGAUUCAAGCGUUAUCCGGAUUUAUUGGGUUUAAAGGGUGCGUAGGCGGUUUGAUAAGUUAGAGGUGAAAUACCGGGGCUUAACUCCGGAACUGCCUCUAAUACUGUUGGACUAGAGAGUAGUUGCGGUAGGCGGAAUGUAUGGUGUAGCGGUGAAAUGCUUAGAGAUCAUACAGAACACCGAUUGCGAAGGCAGCUUACCAAACUAUAUCUGACGUUGAGGCACGAAAGCGUGGGGAGCAAACAGGAUUAGAUACCCUGGUAGUCCACGCAGUAAACGAUGAUAACUCGUUGUCGGCGAUACACAGUCGGUGACUAAGCGAAAGCGAUAAGUUAUCCACCUGGGGAGUACGUUCGCAAGAAUGAAACUCAAAGGAAUUGACGGGGGCCCGCACAAGCGGAGGAACAUGUG